rnacentral:lncRNA from 1 species
ACAGCCUCAACCAGAACCCACACCACGGCCGGACCCAGAGCCAAAACCCAAACCAAUACCACAACCUGAACCCAUACCUACACCACAACCAGAUCCAACUCCAGAACCAGAGCCAAAGCCAACACCACAGCCAGACCCAGAGCCAGGACCUAAGCCAUUACCACACCCGGAACCCUUACCCACACCAGAACCACUUCCAAAUCCACAACUAGAGCCAGAACCCAACCCAUUGCCACAGCCUAAACCCUUACCCACACCAGAACCACUUCCAAAUCCACAACCAGACCCAGAGCCAGAACCCAAGCCAUUGCCACAACCUGAACCCUUACCCACACCAGAACCACUUCCAAAUCCACAACCAGACCCAGAGCCAGAACCCAAGCCAUGGCCACAGCCUGAACCCUUACCCACACCAGAACCACUUCCAAAUCCACAACCAGACCCAGAGCCAAAACCUAAGCCAUGGCCACAGCCUGAACCCUUACCCACACCACAACCACUUCCAAAUCCUGAACCUGAACCAACACCAUAGCCUGAUCCGAACCCUACAUCACAACCUCAACCAAAACCAGAGUCUGGUCUUGAGGCAAGACUUAAGCCUACACUAGGACCUAAACCUCAGCCAUAACCUAAACAAAACCCCAAACCUUCACUUGGCCUAAAAAUAAUACUAGGACCAUCAAGGCCGGCACCCCAUCCGAUCCCUGAACCCCCACCAGAGUCUGAGCCAAAAACCAUAGCCUAAGCUUGAUCCAAACCUGAAGCCUUUGCCGAAGCCAAAACCCCAAC